UUGUCUCAAAGAUUAAGCCAUGCAUGUCUCAGUACGAGCCGCACCAAGGUGAAACCGCGAAAGGCUCAUUAAAUCAGUUAUGGUUCCUUAGAUCGUACCCACAUUUACUUGGAUAACUGUGGCAAUUCUAGAGCUAAUACAUGCAAACAGAGCUCCGACCGGAGACGGAAGGAGCGCUUUUAUUAGAUCAAAACCAAUCGGCGGCGACGCGCGUGCAAGCGGCGUCCGUCCGUCGUCCUCACUGGUGACUCUGAAUAACUCUAUGCCGAUCGCACGGUCUCGCACCGGCGACGCGUCUUUCAAAUGUCUGCCUUAUCAACUGUCGAUGGUAGGUUCUGCGCCUACCAUGGUCGUAACGGGUAACGGGGAAUCAGGGUUCGAUUCCGGAGAGGGAGCCUGAGAAACGGCUACCACAUCCAAGGAAGGCAGCAGGCGCGCAAAUUACCCACUCCCGGCACGGGGAGGUAGUGACGAAAAAUAACGAUACGAGACUCAUCCGAGGCUUCGUAAUCGGAAUGAGUACACUUUAAAUCCUUUAACGAGGAUCAAUUGGAGGGCAAGUCUGGUGCCAGCAGCCGCGGUAAUUCCAGCUCCAAUAGCGUAUAUUAAAGUUGUUGCGGUUAAAAAGCUCGUAGUUGAAUCUGUGUCCUACGCUGUCGGUUCAUCGCCCGCGGUGUUCAACUGGCACGUCUCGUGGGACGUCCUGCCGGUGGGCAAGCGAGCGUCGCGUCGCCGACGGCCCAU
rnacentral:rRNA from 1 species